UAAAGAAAGGAUAAUACAUUAGUUAAAGUUACACAUGACUUUAAGUAACAUUAAAUAAAGCUUAUUUGUUACAUGUUCUACUUGUGUUUUGUCUGCUGCACUCAACUAAGUUUUCAGAACAAAGACAGACAUGCAUGUCGAGUCUCUCUUCAUGUUUCUACCGCCACAGGUGCAGCCAAUCACUAAUUAAGACUCGUCCACCUGCUGCUGAUGUUGAAGAAGAAGCUGCUGCACAGUGGGGACGAUGGAGCCAAACGAGCACCUAAAAUCUCCAGAUCAUCCUCUUCCGCUCAUCCGAAGUCGGGUCCCGGUGGCAGCAAGCGCAGUCAAGUCAAAUCCAGACUUCCCUCUCCCUCUCACAUCCUCAUGGGGGCGUUCAAGGCCCGGAUCACCUCAACUGACUGACAUGUGGCACAUGUGCAUUUGACUUAGAACUGACUUGUUUUCAGUAUUUCAGAAAAUAUGUGUGUCACUAUUCAAUUAAAUGGAUUGAGAUAA